rnacentral:rRNA from 1 species
GACAGAGGGUGCAAACGUUGUUCGGAAUUACUGGGCGUAAAGCGUGUGUAGGCGGCCACGUAAGUCGGAUGUGAAAGCCCCGGGCUCAACCCGGGAAGUGCACUCGAUACUGCGUGGCUUGAGUACUGGAGAGGUUGGUGGAAUUCUCGGUGUAGAGGUGAAAUUCGUAGAUAUCGAGAGGAACACCGGUGGCGAAGGCGGCCAACUGGACAGAUACUGACGCUGAGACAGAAAGCGUGGGGGAGCAAACAGG